UACGUAGGGGGCAAGCGUUGUCCGGAAUCAUUGGGCGUAAAGAGCGUGUAGGCGGCCCGGUAAGUCUGUUGUGAAAGUCCAGGGCUCAACCCUGGAAUGCCGAUGGAUACUGCCGGGCUAGAGUUCGGAAGAGGCGAGUGGAAUUCCUGGUGUAGCGGUGGAAAUGCGCAGAUAUCAGGAGGAACACCUAUAGCGAAGGCAGCUCGCUGGGACGACACUGACGCUGAGACGCGAA
rnacentral:rRNA from 1 species